CCUACGGGAGGCAGCAGUAAGGAAUCUUCCACAAUGGACGAGAAUCUGAUGGAGCAACGCCGCGUGAGUGAAGAAUGGUUUCGGCUCGUAAAGCCCUGUUGGUCGUGGAGAAAGAUAGAGGUAGUAACUGGCCUUUAUUUGACGGUAAUUACUUAGAAAGUCACGCCUAACUACGUGCCAGCAGCCGCGGUAAUACGUAGGUGGCAUGCCUUGUCCGGUUUUAUUGGGCGUAAAGCGAGGGCAGGCGGUUCAAUAAGUCUGAUGUGAAAGCCGUCGGCUCAACCGGAGAAUUGCAUCAGAAACUGUUGAACUUGAGUGCAGAAGAGGAGAGUGGAACUCCAUGUGUAGCGGUGGAAUGCGUAGAUAUAUGGCAGAACACCAGUGGCGAAGGCGGCUCUCUGGUCUGCAACUGACGCUGAGGCUCGAAAGCAUGGGUAGCGAACAGGAUUAGAUACCCCAGUAGUC
rnacentral:rRNA from 1 species